UUAUUACUCCCUCCGUUCUGAAUUACUUGUUGCAGGUAUGGAUGUAUCUAGAUGUAUUUUAAUUCUAGAUACAUCCAUUUCUGCGACGAGUAAUUUAGAACGGAAGGAGUACAUC
rnacentral:pre_miRNA from 1 species